UUCACUGACUGAUGGAAGAGCACCUGGUAGGUGAGUUACAGCAAUCUGCCUUUGCUCAUUCCCUAGCACUGGAGUUACAGACCACUGUGGCCACUUUAGCUUUGAUAUGGGUAAAGACCUGAGCUCAGGUACUCAUGUUUUGUGCAUAAUGGAGGUUUUACAGCAGAAGAGGCUGUUCUAUUACCUUGGUUCCACCACCAUUUUCAAGAUGAGAGUGCCCAGCUUGAUGAAGACUCAAGUAGCACAUAGUGAAGUCAAGACCAGGCCAGGAUAACAAAGGGAGCCGCUGAAGUCUGUUCUGGAGGCACCAUGACAAAGCACCAGACAGAAAGCAGUCACGUGUGGGGAGAUGAGCAGACACCACUUCGCGGGCACCUGAUUAUUCUUUUCUCGGUGUUUAGAAGCAAAAAUUACCCUACGGAAAACAGUUGCAGAUGCAAAACCACAAAUCGGUCAGUGUUAUAAAUGGCACAGUGUAUGCAGAUAAAUCCCCACGCACAGCUCUGAAAAUAUGCCCAGCAGAGGAGAAAUACUGCACUGCUUGUCUUUCCACACUCCGGAUUGCUGCUCUGCUUUUCCAUGGUAUUGCUUAAUCCAAGAAUGAUAAGGACCUUUUUAUCUGUAUGUUUGGAGCAUGCUGCUACUUUAAAAAACUAUCACAGUUUUCCUACAGGCAGAAGGAUGGUCAAGACGAGCUGCAGCAGCUCUUCCUAGCCAGCUUUAUUUGGGACGUGGAAGACAAGAGCUCAUCCUGUUGGAUGCAUAGAGAAGCAAAUUGGCAAAGAUCAGGAGAAGGGAACAGGCUGUUCUAAAGAGCUAUGCAAAAGAAAAUGUCUGAAUUCAAAGGAGGUCAGAUUCUUCAUUGACCCAGGGCAUCAGAAAGGGAAGCCGGCAUGUGCAAUCUUGUCCUCUUUCAUUUUUACCUCCAUGGUCAAAAAGCCGCACCGGAAUGAACACGGUAAAGAAUUUGCUUUCUUCCCUGAGCUUGAGCAUGGAGGAAUUAGCUCCCUGGAUUUCAAGAGGGAAAGGCUGAAGAGGAAGGUGACUGGAAUAUUAAGGACUGUCAGAUAUUCGGAGGAAACUCUAAUUUGUAAAUUGGUAGAAAUGCCAGUAAUUUGUUGGGAAUUGAAGACCUUCUGUAUUCACAAGUGAAGCUUGGCAGCUGUGCACUGUUGUUUUGUAAAUCAAUAUUACAUC
rnacentral:lncRNA from 1 species